GGUUCUUCUGAUAUGUAUGGCCGCCAAGC
rnacentral:sRNA from 1 species